UUACAAGUUAUGUAGGAUGAACUAAGGAAGCUUAUGUUUAUGGGUUAGAGAGACUACAUUGGAUGAUUCUUCUAGGAUUUUGAAUCACCAAGAACCAUCAACAAAGCCAACAGUAUCUUUCACACAAGUUACUAAUAUCUUCUUAAAUAGUUUUACUUUGUAAGAACCAUUUCCUUGAGUGGGUUUACAAUGGGACGGACUAACUUGCGUACAAAGACCGUUUUUUAUUCACUAUUCAUAAUUUUGGUCCGCAGUUUAGUAAAUAGGAAAAAAUAUAAAAACUCUAGGGGAAUUGGAAAACUAACCAAAAAAAAAUAUAAUUAAGAAACUAGCAUAAAAAAAAAAGCAAUGAUAUCCUCUAUAUUUUAUAUAUUAAUUCCAAGUUUACCCCCUCUAUCUCUUUCCGUCUACCUCUCUCUUCCCUUCUCUCUCCCCUCUAUCUUUUUCUCUCUCUCUCUUUCUCUCUCUUUCUUUUUUUCUCCCCCUCUCUCUUUCUCCUCCCAAUAAAGUUCCUACACCUACCUCGUUACUUGUUUUUUAUUUCAAAUUAGAGUCUCUUAAUUACUUUAGGGUGAUAUUUGAUUUGGGGGUUUCGAAUUACAGAGCGAGGAACACAAGUUAGGUUCAGGGAAUUGACUUUCGUUGUUGCACUUGAUGAUGAAAUAGGGUUCCGUUGUUGCGCUUGGUGUAUUGGUGAUGAAAUUGAGUUCCGUUGUUGCAUUUUGAGAGAUACUAUUCUAUUUUGUAAAUAGUAUACUAUUUACGUAUACCUUGUUCUAUAUACGUUUUAAAAUGAAUUGUUUGUUUUGAUUAAAGAUGUUAAGUGAUUUCAUUAAUGUUUUAGAUUUAAACCCUUGGGUUCCCUAUAUAUUAUCCCUUUAGGGUUUAGUAUACUUCCAUCAAAAAAUAUUGUCAAUUUAUAUAGAACGUUAUGUUAUUCAUUGACAACACUAUUCACAUCUAAAUUAUUUUGUGUCUAUUUUCAAAAAUUUAAGUCAUGAUAUUUGUAGAAAACUAUACAACUUUUUAAUAGAUAUAUCAUGAACUUGAAUUAAAUUUUUUAAGAUCAGAUAAUAUGAGUUACAAUUGAAAAGGAGUAAAGAAAAAAGAAAGAGAAAAGAGAAUUUCUCUCCUACCACCUAUUUCUCUUCUCACCUCAACACCAAUAAUAAAGUCACGUCAGCUCACACUAAUCAUUCUCCUUCUUCGCUGACGAAGCGUAACACCAGGACAGUGAUGUCUUUUUACUCUCCUUGAAGGUUAUUUACUACAUUUACAAAUUUAUGGUGUUAGUUGGUUAAUUAUUUAGUAAAAAAGUGUUAUAUCUACAAAUCACGCAAAACUCUAUUACGGACCAACAAAUAGUUUAUUUGAAAGCAAAAAAACAAAACUUGGUCCGUAACGGAUUAUUGUCCGUCUUAGAAAUAUAAUGGUCUACUCCGCAAACAGAUUUGUCCGUCUUAGCGACAUAUUGGUCUAGUCUGCAAACGGAUUUAUCCGCUCUGUCUAUUUGUUGCAACCUUGUAAGUUUUCAAAGAGGAAACACAUAUAUAUGUUAU
rnacentral:sRNA from 1 species